AUACGUAGGGCGCGAGCGUUGUCCGGAAUUAUUGGGCGUAAAGAGCUCGUAGGCGGCUUGUCGCGUCGGUUGUGAAAGCCCGGGGCUUGACUCCGGGUCUGCAGUCGAUACGGGCAGGCUAGAGUUCGGUAGGGGAGAUCGGAAUUCCUGGUGUAGCGGUGAAAUGCGCAGAUAUCAGGAGGAACACCGGUGGCGAAGGCGGAUCUCUGGGCCGAUACUGACGCUGAGGAGCGAAAGCGUGGGGAGCGAACAGGAUUAGAGACCCUGGUAGUCCACGCCGUAAACGGUGGGCACUAGGUGUGGGCGGCAUUCCACGUCGUCCGUGCCGUAGCUAACGCAUUAAGUGCCCCGCCUGGGGAGUACGGCCGCAAGGCUAAA
rnacentral:rRNA from 1 species